rnacentral:rRNA from 1 species
UACGAAGGGGGCUAGCGUUGCUCGGAAUCACUGGGCGUAAAGCGCACGUAGGCGGACUCUUAAGUCGGUGGUGAAGUCCUGGAGCUCAACUCCAGAACUGCCUUCGAUACUGGGAGUCUCGAGUCCGGGAGAGGUGAGUGGAACUGCGAGUGUAGAGGUGAAAUUCGUAGAUAUUCGCAAGAACACCAGUGGCGAAGGCGGCUCACUGGCCCGGUACUGACGCUGAGGUGCGAAAGCGUGGGGAGCAAACAGG